rnacentral:rRNA from 1 species
CUUGCUUUCUUUUGCUGGCGACCGGCGCACGGGUGAGUAACACGUAUCCAACCUGCCCUUUACUCGGGGAUAGCCUUUCGAAAGAAAGAUUAAUACCCGAUAGCAUAAUGAUUCCGCAUGGUUUCAUUAUUAAAGGAUUCCGGUAAGGGAUGGGGAUGCGUUCCAUUAGGUUGUUGGUGGGGUAACGGCCCACCAAGCCUUCGAUGGAUAGGGGUUCUGAGAGGAAGGUCCCCCACAUUGGAACUGAGACACGGUCCAA